rnacentral:rRNA from 1 species
AGAGUUUGAUCCUGGCUCAGAAUGAACGCUGGCGGCAUGCCUAACACAUGCAAGUCGAACGAAGGCUUCGGCCUUAGUGGCGCACGGGUGCGUAACGCGUGGGAAUCUGCCCCUUGGUUCGGAAUAACAGUUGGAAACGACUGCUAAUACCGGAUGAUGACGUAAGUCCAAAGAUUUAUCGCCGAGGGAUGAGCCCGCGUAGGAUUAGGUAGUUGGUGUGGUAAAGGCGCACCAAGCCGACGAUCCUUAGCUGGUCUGAGAGGAUGAUCAGCCACACUGGGACUGAGACACGGCCCAGACUCCUACGGGAGGCAGCAGUGGGGAAUAUUGGACAAUGGGCGAAAGCCUGAUCCAGCAAUGCCGCGUGAGUGAUGAAGGCCUUAGGGUUGUAAAGCUCUUUUACCCGGGAUGAUAAUGACAGUACCGGGAGAAUAAGCUCCGGCUAACUCCGUG